rnacentral:rRNA from 1 species
CACCGCGGUUAUACGAGAGGCCCAAGUUGACAAACGCCGGCGUAAAAUGUGGCUAUAUACAGUAUUACACUAAAGCUAAACAUCUUCAAAGCUGUUAUAUGCACCCGAAGACAGGAAGUGCUUCCACGAAAGUGGCUUUAACAAUAUUAGCCCACGAAAGCUAGGACA